GGAAAAUUCCGUCUAAAGUUCACCCCAGAGCGCUGCGUUACAACGAGAAAACUGCGGGCAGCUGAAACAGUCCAUAAUGAACAGCAGCCUAGAAAUCGACGGCCCUGCCUGGAUAUGGGUUUAUAUAAACCUGGGGCUGGCCUGGAACUUGCAAGGAUCCUCCUCCUGCCUCCUGAAAAGGGGUGAUGGGCACCAACGUACCAGCAAUUUAGACUCUAAAAAGAACCCAAAGAAGCUCAGUGUGGUGGCUCAGGGUCUUCAAUCCUAACACUCAAGGGACCGAGGUAGGUGGAACUCUUGAGUUCAAGGCCAGUCUGGUCUAUAUAGCAAGUCCCUCGACAGCUAGGACUAUGUAGAGAAAACCUAUCUCGAAACAUACAAACAACCUCCCCACCCCCACAUAUACGUAUGUGCUAUGUCCUUUUUUUCCUUUCUGGUGGUGGUUUUGUUUGCUUGCUUGCUUUUUGAGACAGGGUUUCUGUGUGUCCCUGGCUGUUCUGGAACUCACUUUGUUGACCAGGCUGGCCUUGAACUCACAUAGAUCUGCCUGCCUCGGCCUUCCUUGUGCUGGGACUAAAGGUAUGCACCACCACACUGGGCUUGCUAAGUGUUCUUAACACAGACACACACAGACACACACACACCCCAAAAGUACCGAGGAAGCAUUACCCAAGAGCAUAAAAUAGUGUGUUAAGUGUGCUCCUUAGGGAGAUGUUCACCAAGAGGGUGAACAGAUGUCUCUGGGCCGGUGAGACAGCAGGGGAUGUUCCCUUUUUAAUGAGUGUAAGUACCAAGUGUAAGUACCAAGACAGGCAGGCUUUUUUCAAGAGACGGAGAGAACUGUCCGGAGAAAAAGGAAAAUCCUAUGCAGAUACUAAAAUUGAAGAGACUGACACUCUAAUUUCAGCUAAGAAGCGGUUACAGAAGAGAUUGUUGUCCGUCAGCAAAAAGACUAGAAAAAAAAAAAAAAAAAAGGCCAAAGGAAACCCCGGGACAAAUGGCUAACUGUGGUGCCUAUUAGCAUGCAAAGCACACACUGGAUAAGUCUGUACUUGUGGCUUCUCAGCUUCCCCUACCCUAAACUCCAGCUCCUGGGUUUCCCUUCUCCCAUAUAACCCUCCCAUUUUGGCCGUGUGCCCUCUUUGGCUGGCUUCGGUCUACUGGUCAAGUUCACUUUCUCUCCCUGCUCUGGACCCUCC
rnacentral:lncRNA from 1 species